rnacentral:rRNA from 1 species
GAUGAACGCUGGCGGUAUGCUUAACACAUGCAAGUCGAACGGACUCUUCGGAGUUAGUGGCGGACGGGUGAGUAACGCGUGAGAAUCUGGCUUUGGGUUCGGGACAACCACUGGAAACGGUGGCUAAUACCGGAUGUGCCGAGAGGUAAAAGAGAAAUUGCCUGAAGAUGAGCUCGCGUAUGAUUAGCUAGUUGGUGAGGUAAAGGCUCACCAAGGCAGCGAUCAGUAGCUGGUCUGAGAGGAUGACCAGCCACACUGGGACUGAGACACGGCCCAGACUCGUACGGGGCGCAGCGGUGGGGAAUUAUCCGUAAAGGGCGAGAGCCUGACGGAGCAGUACCGCGUGAGGGAAGAAGGCUCUUGGGUUGUAAAACUCUUUUCUUAGGGAAGAACAGAAUGACGGUACCUAAGGAAUCAGCAUCGGCUAACUACGUG